CAGCAGCGCGGUAAUACCGGCGGCCCGAGUGGCGGUCACUAUUAUUGGGCUUAAAGCGUCCGUAGCCGGGUUGGGAAGUCCUCCGGGAAAUCUGGCCGCUUAACGGUCAGAAUGCCGGAGGAUACUCCCAGCCUAGGGGGCGGGAGAGGCCGAGGGUAUUCCCGGAGUAGGGGUGAAAUCCUAUAAUCCCGGGAGGACCACCUGUGGCGAAGGCGCUCGGCUGGAACGCGUCCGACGGUGAGGGACGAAGGCCAGGGGAGCAAACCGGAUUAGAUACCCGGGUAGUCCUGGCUGUAAACGAUGCGGACUUUGUGUCGGACAAGCUAUGAGCUUGUCCGGUGCCGGAGGGAAACCGUUAAGUCCGCCGCCUGGGGAGUACGGCCGCAAGGCUGAAACUUAAAGGAAUUGGCGGG
rnacentral:rRNA from 1 species